GACGAACGCUGGCGGCGUGCCUAAUACAUGCAAGUCGAGCGAAUCAAUGGGAGCUUGCUCCCUGAGAUUAGCGGCGGACGGGUGAGUAACACGUGGGUAACCUGCCUGUAAGACUGGGAUAACUUCGGGAAACCGGAGCUAAUACCGGAUACGUUCUUUUUUCGCAUGAGGAGAGAUGGAAAGAUGGUUCUGCUAUCACUUACAGAUGGACCCGCGGCGCAUUAGCUAGUUGGUGAGGUAACGGCUAACCAAGGCGACGAUGCGUAGCCGACCUGGGAGGGUGAUCGGCCACACUGGGACUGAGACACGGCCCAGACGCCUACGGGAGGCAGCAGUAGGGAAUCUUCCGCAAUGGACGAAAGUCUGACGGAGCAACGCCGCGUGAGCGAAGAAGGCCUUCGGGUCGUAAAGCUCUGUUGUUAGGGAAGAACAAGUACGAGAGUAACUGCUCGUACCUUGACGGUACCUAACCAGAAAGCCACGGCUAACUACGUGCCAGCAGCCGCGGUAA
rnacentral:rRNA from 1 species